AAUUCCAUGAGUAUCACCUGGUGCUCAUCACAAGAGUCACUUAUGGCCAGUUAGAUCCUCAAGGUAGAUGAAAUGUUCAGCCUGAGGCCCAAGUAGGCCAUAGGUCUCUUCCCAUCACUAAUUGAAGAACAGCCUGGUGAGUCAGAGCCCUGGAGCACGAGGCCCAGGUCAUGGGCUCCAUGAGACCUUCUCAUCUGAUUUGGACAGCAGAAGCUUUGGGAGAUAUGAAGUUAUCUAGGAUUGGGACAUCUGACAAAAAGGAGAAGAGAGAGAGAGGGUCCCUGGGCAUAAACAGGAAGAGCUAGUGCCCAGACAGCAUGAGGACCUUCACAGGUGCUAACUGGAUACAUAACAAACACAGAAGUAUCACUUGUUCAUCCAUUAUUCUAAAUCUUCAUUGAUAAAUGAUUAUACCUCA